UUAGAGUUUGAUUAUGGCUCAGGAUGAACGCUGGCGGCGUGCCUAACACAUGCAAGUCGAGCGAGAAACCUGCAAUUGAAACUUCGGUAGAUUUUGCGGGCGGAAAGCGGCGGACGGGUGAGUAACGCGUAGGCAACCUGCCCUUUGCAGAGGGAUAGCAACGGGAAACUGUUAUUAAAACCUCAUAAUACCGACAUGUCAAAUGACAAGACGGUCAAAGAUUUAUCGGCAAAGGAUGGGCCUGCGUCUGAUUAGUUAGUUGGUAGGGUAACGGCCUACCAAGGCAGCGAUCAGUAGCCGACCUGAGAGGGUGAUCGGCCACAUUGGAACUGAGACACGGUCCAAACUCCUACGGGAGGCAGCAGUGGGGAAUAUUGCACAAUGGGCGAAAGCCUGAUGCAGCAACGCCGCGUGAAGGAUGAAGGCCUUUGGGUCGUAAACUUCUGUCCUUGGGGAAGAAAAAAAUGACGGUACCCCUGGAGGAAGUCCCGGCUAACUACGUGCCAGCAGCCGCGGUAAUACGUAGGGGGCGAGCGUUAUCCGGAAUUAUUGGGCGUAAAGAGUACGUAGGUGGUUUUUUAAGCGCAGGGUUUAAGGCGAUGGCUCAACUGUCGUUCGCCCUGUGAACUGGGAAGACUUGAGUACAGGAGAGGAAAAGCGGGAAUUCCUAGUGUAGCGGUGAAAUGCAUAGAUAUUAGGAGGAACACCAGUGGCGAAGGCGGCUUUCUGGACUGUAACUGACACUGAGGUACGAAAGCGUGGGGAGCAAACAGGAUUAGAUACCCUGGUAGUCCACGCUGUAAACGAUGAGCACUAGGUGUCGGGGUCGCAAGAUCUCGGUGCCGGAGUUAACGCAUUAAGUGCUCCGCCUGGGGAGUACGCACGCAAGUGUGAAACUCAAAGGAAUUGACGGGGACCCGCACAAGCAGCGGAGCAUGUGGUUUAAUUCGAAGCAACGCGAAGAACCUUACCAGAACUUGACAUCCUCCUGACAGGCCUUUAAUCGGGCCCUUCUUCGGACAGGAGAGACAGGUGGUGCAUGGUUGUCGUCAGCUCGUGUCGUGAGAUGUUGGGUUAAGUCCCGCAACGAGCGCAACCCUUGUCAUUAGUUGCUAACAUUAAGUUGAGGACUCUAAUGAGACUGCCGGGGACAACUCGGAGGAAGGUGGGGAUGACGUCAAAUCAUCAUGCCCCUUAUGUUCUGGGCUACACACGUGCUACAAUGGCCGGUACAACGAGAAGCGAAGUCGCAAGGCGGAGCAAACCUCAAAAACCGGUCCCAGUUCGGAUUGCAGGCUGAAACCCGCCUGCAUGAAGCCGGAGUUGCUAGUAAUCGCGAAUCAGAAUGUCGCGGUGAAUGCGUUCCCGGGUGGGAGUACACACCGCCCGUCACACCAUGGAAGUUGGGGGCGCCCGAAGUUGGUCAGAUAAUAGAUUACCUAAGGCGAAAUCAAUGACUGGGGUGAAGUCGUAACAAGGUAGCCGCAGGAAACCUGCGGCUGGAUCACCUCCUUUCU
rnacentral:rRNA from 1 species